rnacentral:rRNA from 2 species
UCAGUCCUAGAAACACUGAUGAAUAAAGGGGUGGGCAAGUUCUGGUGUCAGCCGCCGCGGUAAAACCAGCACCUCAAGUGGUCAGGAUGAUUAUUGGGCCUAAAGCAUCCGUAGCCGGCUCUGUAAGUUUUCGGUUAAAUCUGUACGCUCAACGUACAGGCUGCCGGGAAUACUGCAGAGCUAGGGAGUGGGAGAGGUAGACGGUACUCGGUAGGAAGGGGUAAAAUCCUUUGAUCUAUUGAUGACCACCUGUGGCGAAGGCGGUCUACCAGAACACGUCCGACGGUGAGGGAUGAAAGCUGGGGGAGCAAACCGGAUUAGAUACCCGGGUAGUCCCAGCUGUAAACUAUGCAAACUCAGUGAUGCAUUGGCUUGUGGCCAAUGCAGUGCUGCAGGGAAGCCGUUAAGUUUGCCGCCUGGGAAGUACGUACGCAAGUAUGAAACUUAAAGGAAUUGGCGGGGGAGCACCACAAGGGGUGAAGCCUGCGGUUCAAUUGGAUUCAACGCCGGGAAUC